GGUGGUAAGGGUGAAACGGUGCGGUAAGAGCGCACCAGCAUUCCGGGUGACCGGAGUGGCUAGGCAAACCCCACCCGAAGCAAGGCCAAGAAGGCCGCAACCUGGUUGCGGCUGCGCAGGCGUUCGAGGGCUGCUCGCCCGAGCCUGCGGGUAGGCCGCUCGAGGCACCCGGCAACGGUGUGUCCAGAUGGAUGGUCGCCGCCCGGUCUCACCGACCGGGAACAGAAUCCGGCUUACAGGCCAACUCGUCCG
rnacentral:RNase_P_RNA from 1 species